CAGUCGCCGCGGGAAUACGAAGGGUGCAAGCGUUAAUCGGAAUUACUGGGCGUAAAGCGUGCGUAGGCGGUUUGUUAAGUCUGCUGUGAAAUCCCCGGGCUCAACCUGGGAAUGGCAGUGGAUACUGGCAAGCUAGAGUGUGUCAGAGGAUGGUGGAAUUCCCGGUGUAGCGGUGAAAUGCGUAGAGAUCGGGAGGAACAUCAGUGGCGAAGGCGGCCAUCUGGGACAACACUGACACUGAGGCACGAAAGCGUGGGGAGCAAACAGGAUUAGAUACCCCCGUAGUCCCUGUCUCUUAUAC
rnacentral:rRNA from 1 species